rnacentral:rRNA from 1 species
GCCACUGCUAUUGGGGUUCGGCUAAGCCAUGCGAGUGGAGGGCGUCCCGCAAGGGAUGGCCCCGCAGACGGCUCAGUAACACGUCGUCAACCCACCUUAGGGAGGGGGACAACCUCGGGAAACUGAGGAUAAUCCCCCAUAGGCGGGGGAGGCUAGAAUGCGCCCCCGCUGAAAGCUCAGGCGCCCUAGGACGGGACGGCGGCCUAUCAGGUAGUUGGUG